rnacentral:rRNA from 1 species
AUUGAACGCUGGCGGAAUGCUUUACACAUGCAAGUCGAACGGCAGCACGGGGGCAACCCUGGUGGCGAGUGGCGAACGGGUGAGUAAUGCAUCGGAACGUGCCAUUGAGUGGGGGAUAACGUAGCGAAAGUUGCGCUAAUACCGCAUAUUCUGUGAGUAGGAAAGCAGGGGACCGCAAGGCCUUGCGCUCUUUGAGCGGCCGAUGUCAGAUUAGCUAGUUGGUGAGGUAAAGGCUUACCAAGGCGACGAUCUGUAGCGGGUCUGAGAGGAUGAUCCGCCACACUGGAACUGAGACACGGUCCAGACUCCUACGGGAGGCAGCAGUGGGGAAUUUUGGACAAUGGGCGCAAGCCUGAUCCAGCCAUGCCGCGUGAGUGAAGAAGGCC